UUCAGAAUCUUGCGCAAUGGACGAAAGUCUGACGCAGCGAUACCGCGUGGGUGAAGAAGGCCUUCGGGUCGUAAAGCCCUGUCAGGGGGAAAGAUUAUGACGGUACCCCCUAAGGAAGCCACGGCUAAUUACGUGCCAGCAGCCGCGGUAAUACGUAAGUGGCGAGCGUUAUCCGGAAUCACUGGGCGUAAAGAGUGCGUAGGCGGUUGGGUAAGUUAGAUUUGAAAGCCCGGGGCUCAACUCCGGAUCCGGAUCUAAAACUGCCCGACUGGAGCGAAUCAGAGGACAACGGAAUUCCUAGUGUAGCGGUGAAAUGCGCAGAUAUUAGGAAGAACACCGGUGGCGAAGGCGGCUCUCUGGAACGAUACUGACACUGAGACGCGAAAGCGUGGGUAGCGAACAGGAUUAGAUACCCAGGUAGUCCCUGAGCGGGCUGGCAAGGCGCAU
rnacentral:rRNA from 1 species